UACGUAGGGUGCAAGCGUUAAUCGGAAUUACUGGGCGUAAAGCGUGCGCAGGCGGUGAUGUAAGACCGAUGUGAAAUCCCCGGGCUUAACCUGGGAACUGCAUUGGUGACUGCAUUGCUGGAGUAUGGCAGAGGGGGGUGGAAUUCCACGUGUAGCAGUGAAAUGCGUAGAGAUGUGGAGGAACACCGAUGGCGAAGGCGCUCGAUCUGCCCAAUACGUGACGCUGAAGCUCGAAAGCUAGGGGAGCAAACGGG
rnacentral:rRNA from 1 species